rnacentral:rRNA from 1 species
GACGAACGCUGGCGGCGUGCCUAAUACAUGCAAGUUGAGCGAUGAAGCUUGGUGCUUGCACCAAUUUGAAGAGCAGCGAACGGGUGAGUAACGCGUGGGGAAUCUGCCUUUGAGCGGGGGACAACAUUUGGAAACGAAUGCUAAUACCGCAUAACAACUUUAAACAUAAGUUUUAAGUUUGAAGGAUGCAAUUGCAUCACUCAAAGAUGAUCCCGCGUUGUAUUAGCUAGUUGGUGAGGUAAAGGCUCACCAAGGCGAUGAUGCAUAGCCGACCUGAGAGGGUGAUCGGCCACAUUGGGACUGAGACACGGCCCAAACUCCUACGGGAGGCAGCAGUAGGGAAUCUUCGGCAAUGGACGAAAGUCUGACCGAGCAACGCCGCGUGAGUGAAGAAGGUUUUCGGAUCGUAAAACUCUGUUGGUAGAGAAGAACGUUGGUGAGAGUGGAAAGCUCAUCAAGUGACGGUAACUACCCAGAAAGGGACGGCUAACUACGUG